CUGAUAACAUCAGGCUUUUGAGAUUUGUUUUCCUGAGUUUGUUCAGCAACUAUUGCACUAACAACACCCAUUGCAAGAGAUCCCGUCUGCUGAGCUUCUCAUUAGGUCUGUGAGUUACGUCCCAGCCUUAAAGAGACUCAGAGUGCUUGACAGUCACCUAUGGUGCCCAGAUUUGGGUGUCCGGUGCCAUUUUAGGCAGCUUUGGCUACCUGGGAUGUCAGUGCAGAGCUGGUAGAUGUGACGUGGGACCUACAGGACGCCCUCGCUCCGUGUGAUGGCAGCCAGAGGCCUGGCUUCAGCUUGAGAUCCAGCGUGGCACCAUGAACCUCCAUGGCCCUACUUGCCCCAGCAGGACUGCUCAAGGAACAAAUCAGCUUUCAGGACACAGAGGGAACCUAGCCAGGCUGCAAGGACAACACCGUUGUGAUCUGACAGAGCAGACAGCCCUUGUGUUCAGGCUGCUUGCAGUCCCAUGUCUGAAGGAUCGUGCUGCAAAGCAAGUCAGCUACCUGCAGGAGCACAGAGAGGAGCUUAGUGAGUCGGGCCCACAGGGAGAAGGCAGGAGGGGUCGGAACAUCAACUGGAUCAAGCAAACAGCCUUCAGAGGAGUCAUCACCCUGCACUGAUCUCUUGCAUUUCUGAGAGUCCCUGUAAGCAGAUUUAUUUGUCUAAAACGUGGCUGACUCUACCCAAAUAUUGUUGUACCUCUGGAG
rnacentral:lncRNA from 1 species